AGAGUUUGAUCCUGGCUCAGGAUGAACGCUAGCUACAGGCUUAACACAUGCAAGUCGAGGGGCAGCAUGGUCUUAGCUUGCUAAGGCCGAUGGCGACCGGCGCACGGGUGAGUAACACGUAUCCAACCUGCCGUCUACUCUUGGACAGCCUUCUGAAAGGAAGAUUAAUACAAGAUGGCAUCAUGAGUCCGCAUGUUCACAUGAUUAAAGGUAUUCCGGUAGACGAUGGGGAUGCGUUCCAUUAGAUAGUAGGCGGGGUAACGGCCCACCUAGUCUUCGAUGGAUAGGGGUUCUGAGAGGAAGGUCCCCCACAUUGGAACUGAGACACGGUCCAAACUCCUACGGGAGGCAGCAGUGAGGAAUAUUGGUCAAUGGGCGAGAGCCUGAACCAGCCAAGUAGCGUGAAGGAUGACUGCCCUAUGGGUUGUAAACUUCUUUUAUAAAGGAAUAAAGUCGGGUAUGGAUACCCGUUUGCAUGUACUUUAUGAAUAAGGAUCGGCUAACUCCGUGCCAGCAGCCGCGGUAAUACGGAGGAUCCGAGCGUUAUCCGGAUUUAUUGGGUUUAAAGGGAGCGUAGAUGGAUGUUUAAGUCAGUUGUGAAAGUUUGCGGCUCAACCGUAAAAUUGCAGUUGAUACUGGAUAUCUUGAGUGCAGUUGAGGCAGGCGGAAUUCGUGGUGUAGCGGUGAAAUGCUUAGAUAUCACGAAGAACUCCGAUUGCGAAGGCAGCCUGCUAAGCUGCAACUGACAUUGAGGCUCGAAAGUGUGGGUAUCAAACAGGAUUAGAUACCCUGGUAGUCCACACGGUAAACGAUGAAUACUCGCUGUUUGCGAUAUACUGCAAGCGGCCAAGCGAAAGCGUUAAGUAUUCCACCUGGGGAGUACGCCGGCAACGGUGAAACUCAAAGGAAUUGACGGGGGCCCGCACAAGCGGAGGAACAUGUGGUUUAAUUCGAUGAUACGCGAGGAACCUUACCCGGGCUUAAAUUGCAGAUGAAUUACGGUGAAAGCCGUAAGCCGCAAGGCAUCUGUGAAGGUGCUGCAUGGUUGUCGUCAGCUCGUGCCGUGAGGUGUCGGCUUAAGUGCCAUAACGAGCGCAACCCUUGUUGUCAGUUACUAACAGGUUCCGCUGAGGACUCUGACAAGACUGCCAUCGUAAGAUGUGAGGAAGGUGGGGAUGACGUCAAAUCAGCACGGCCCUUACGUCCGGGGCUACACACGUGUUACAAUGGGGGGUACAGAAGGCAGCUACCUGGUGACAGGAUGCUAAUCCCAAAAACCUCUCUCAGUUCGGAUCGAAGUCUGCAACCCGACUUCGUGAAGCUGGAUUCGCUAGUAAUCGCGCAUCAGCCAUGGCGCGGUGAAUACGUUCCCGGGCCUUGUACACACCGCCCGUCAAGCCAUGAAAGCCGGGGGUACCUGAA
rnacentral:rRNA from 1 species